rnacentral:rRNA from 1 species
GAUGAACGCUGGCGGCGUGCCUAAUACAUGCAAGUCGAGCGAACGGACGAGAAGCUUGCUUCUCUGAUGUUAGCGGCGGACGGGUGAGUAACACGUGGACAACCUACCUAUAAGACUGGGAUAACUUCGGGAAACCGGAGCUAAUACCGGAUAAUAUUUUGAACCGCAUGGUUCAAAAGUGAAAGACGGUCUUGCUGUCACUUAUAGAUGGAUCCGCGCUGCAUUAGCUAGUUGGUAAGGUAACGGCUUACCAAGGCAACGAUGCAUAGCCGACCUGAGAGGGUGAUCGGCCACACUGGAACUGAGACACGGUCCAGACUCCUACGGGAGGCAGCAGUAGGGAAUCUUCCGCAAUGGGCGAAAGCCUGACGGAGCAACGCCGCGUGAGUGAUGAAGGUCUUCGGAUCGUAAAACUCUGUUAUUAGGGAAGAACAUAUGUGUAAGUAACUGUGCACAUCUUGACGGUACCUAAUCAGAAAGCCACGGCUAACUACGUGCCAGCAGCCGCGGUAAUACGUAGGUGGCAAGCGUUAUCCGGAAUUAUUGGGCGUAAAGCGCGCGUAGGCGGUUUUUUAGUCUGAUGUGAAAGCCCACGGCUCAACCGUGGAGGGUCAUUGGAAACUGGAAAACUUGAGUGCAGAAGAGGAAAGUGGAAUUCCAUGUGCAGCGGUGAAAUGCGCAGAGAUAUGGAGGAACACCAGUGGCGAAGGCGACUUUCUGGUCUGUAACUGACGCUGAUGUGCGAAAGCGUGGGGAUCAAACAGGAUUAGAUACCCUGGUAGUCCACGCCGUAAACGAUGAGUGCUAAGUGUUAGGGGGUUUCCGCCCCUUAGUGCUGCAGCUAACGCAUUAAGCACUCCGCCUGGGGAGUACGACCGCAAGGUUGAAACUCAAAGGAAUUGACGGGGACCCGCACAAGCGGUGGAGCAUGUGGUUUAAUUCGAAGCAACGCGAAGAACCUUACCAAAUCUUGACAUCCUUUGACAACUCUAGAGAUAGAGCCUUCCCCUUCGGGGGACAAAGUGACAGGUGGUGCAUGGUUGUCGUCAGCUCGUGUCGUGAGAUGUUGGGUUAAGUCCCGCAACGAGCGCAACCCUUAAGCUUAGUUGCCAUCAUUAAGUUGGGCACUCUAAGUUGACUGCCGGUGACAAACCGGAGGAAGGUGGGGAUGACGUCAAAUCAUCAUGCCCCUUAUGAUUUGGGCUACACACGUGCUACAAUGGACAAUACAAAGGGCAGCGAAACCGCGAGGUCAAGCAAAUCCCAUAAAGUUGUUCUCAGUUCGGAUUGUAGUCUGCAACUCGACUACAUGAAGCUGGAAUCGCUAGUAAUCGUAGAUCAGCAUGCUACGGUGAAUACGUUCCCGGGUCU